GCUUAUACUCGACCGUCAGCGGCACGUGCGAUCGCGCGCGCGCGCGAGCUUUCGAGCACACGCGCGCGCGCGCGGUCACGAAGCCCUGACGAGUAGGAGGGUCGCGGCGGUGAGCGCAGAAGGGCUGGCCGCGAGGCCGUCUGGAKCCGCCGUCGGUGCAGAUCUUGGUGGUAGUAGCAAAUACUCCAGCGAGGCCCUGGAGGACUGACGUGGAGAAGGGUUUCGUGUGAACAGCCGUUGCACACGAGUCAGUCGAUCCUAAGCCCUAGGCGAAAGCCGAUGUCGAUGCGGUGUAGUUUUUACGAUAACCAAAAAACGACGAAGACGAAAUAAAUAUUAAUUCGUCUCCUCGAAAUAACGCGAGAGCACACACCCGUCGGGCGAAAGGGAAUCCGGUUCCUAUUCCGGAACCUGGCAGCGGAACCGUCAAAAAGUCGGGC
rnacentral:rRNA from 1 species